UACGGGGGGAGCAAGCGUUGUUCGGAUUUACUGGGCGUAAAGGGCGCGUAGGCGGUCGUGACAAGUCACUUGUGAAAUCUCCGGGCUUAACUCGGAACGGUCAAGUGAUACUGUCGGACUAGAGUACAGAAGGGGCAACUGGAAUUCUCGGUGUAGCGGUGAAAUGCGUAGAUAUCGAGAGGAACACCUGUGGCGAAGGCGGCCUUCUGGACGGUGACUGACGCUGAGAUGCGAAAGCGUGGGGAGCAAACAGG
rnacentral:rRNA from 1 species